rnacentral:rRNA from 1 species
UGAGGAAUAUUGGUCAAUGGGCGGAAGCCUGAACCAGCCAAGUCGCGUGAAGGAUGAAGGUAUUAUGUAUUGUAAACUUCUUUAGCAGUGGAGAAAUAAGGGAGUCGAGACUCCUGAUGCUAGUACACUGAGAAUAAGGAUCGGCUAACUCCGUGCCAGCAGCCGCGGUAAUACGGAGGAUCCGAGCGUUAUCCGGAUUUAUUGGGUUUAAAGGGUGCGCAGGCGGCCUUGCAAGUCAGCGGUCAAAUCGUGGAGCUCAACUCCAUUCCGCCGUUGAUACUGCCGGGCUUGAUUGCGGUUGAGGUUUGCGGAAUUCGUCGUGUAGCGGUGAAAUGCAUAGAUAUGACGAAGAACCCCGAUUGCGUAGGCAGCAGACCAAGCCGUAAAUGACGCUCAUGCACGAAAGUGCGGGGAUCGAACAGG